rnacentral:lncRNA from 1 species
CAUAUCUGUGAUUGAAAAUCACCUUACAGGAAUGCAUCAGUAAGAAAAUUUGUACUGAAUUGUUGACUACAAUAAGACUUUACAAUAAAUAUACCCAUCACUAGAGGAAUGAUUGACAAAUGCUAUGCUGUCAGUAACUGACAUCACUAUCAUCAAUAUCAUCUUUCUUACAAACUGUAAUAAACAGACAUAGAAGGAGAGCUGUAUUAUAUUGUCAAGUGCAAAAGGCCAGCUGCAACACAAAGAAAUAAUAAACUCUCACUGGGAAGAAAAGACUA